AAAUAUCCUCAGGUAAGGAUUAACAAAGCAAACAAAAAAACCAAAAGACACAGAAGAAGAGCCAUGUGGCUGCUACUCUCCCAAGGCACCUCACUGAGGACAAGUGUCAUCUUUUAUUGUUAUUUUAUUUAUAAAUAGAUUAAGUAUAUUUAUUAGGGAAGGUCUUGAUGGUAAAGAAUAUUUGUCUACAUUUAGUUCCUUUUAAUAUAUUUUUUAUUCAUAUAAACUACAUGUAUAGAAAAGCACCUUCAACAAGGCUCUGUGAAGUCUAGCUCUGUCCUGGGAUCACCCACAUGGGUGUUUUCCUGCAGUGGGACACGCACCAUUGCUCUUUUCCCUCCAGUUGUCAAGAAAUUCCCUUUGAGGUGGUUCAAGAGAAGGAGCAGAGGAAACAAUGUGUGUGGGGAGGAGAAAUCAAAGAGAAUAUGCGAACUUAGAGUGCUGGAGAUGAAAAGGGUAAGGCAAGAUCAUGGCUCAAGAUUAUAAAAAGGAAGGGACCCACAUAAGGGAUCCAAAUACAAGAUUCACAAGGAAAUCAUCUGCAGUCAAAAGAAUCUACUGGCGUCCCCAGCAGUGGCUCAGCAGAUGAAAAUGGGCAUCUGUCCAAAUGACAGGUAGAGGCACAAAUGCCGCUCCCCCACUUCACAGAAGUGUUGUGACUCUGGGCAAGACACUUCAUCUCUCCAAAUUUCAAUGCCCUGAACCAUACAAUCUGGAUCACAGCUUUUACUGUGCUCACCCUGUAGUGCUGCUUUAAACAUUAGAAGAUGUAACGGAUUUUUUCCAUGAGCUCCGACCUAGCCAAUAUAAAGGUAUG